rnacentral:rRNA from 1 species
GAUGAACGCUGGCGGCGUGCCUAAUACAUGCAAGUCGAGCGAACAGACGAGGUGCUUGCUCCUCUGACGUUAGCGGCGGACGGGUGAGUAACACGUGGAUAACCUACCUAUAAGACUGGGAUAACUUCGGGAAACCGGAGCUAAUACCGGAUAAUAUAUUUAAACGCAUGGUUCAAUAGUGAAAGAUGGUUUUGCUGUCCCUUAUAGAUAGAUCCGCGCCGCAUUAGCUAGUGGGUAAGGUAACGGCUUACCAAGGCAACGAUCCGUAGCCGACCUGAGAGGGUGAUCGGCAACACUGGAACUGAGAAACGGUCCAGACUCCUACGGGAGGCAGCAGUAGGGAAUCUUCCGCAAUGGGCGAAAGCCUGACGGAGCAACGCCGCGUGAGUAAUGAAGGUCUUCGGAUCGUAAAACUCUGUUAUUAGGGAAGAACAAAUGUGUAAGUAACUAUGCACGUCUUGACGGUACCUAAUCAGAAAGCCACGGCUAACUACGUG